UCGUGCUGUAUGUUUGGAUACAUACAUUGU
rnacentral:piRNA from 1 species